UCUUCUUCAUCGUUUCCUCAGUUUUGUCACUCUAAGCGCAAACCGGGCUCCGUCUUUUCCGUUUCUUUUCCGCGCGUCUGCAACAACCAUUCGGCCUCAUGAGCGGUGUACAUGCCACCCCUUUCCUCCCUCUCUUCUUCCCUUACCAACCCGCCUUUGUCUUCAGACCAUUUCCAUACACGCCCGCAUGCUCGGAAGUACGCCCUCGAAAAACAACGACGAAGGAAAAAGAGAUCGUCUUCACGGACGCACACACGUGACGCAGGCGCGCUACGAUGAGGAAAAAUAGACAGCGCGAUCAGAAUACGGGCUAUCCGAAGAAGACGGACAGGCCGCACGCCUAGGUACGACUAUCGUGAUGCCGGGUUGGUGAUCCUCCCUACUUGUGCAGGGGGUUUCUCCGCUGUUCCAUUGAGUUUCCUGGUUGGUGGUGAUGGUGGUGGUGGUGCGCGCUUCGUGACGGUCUCACUCGGAGUUUUCGUCCCCUUUUAUCCUUUCUCUCAUGCUCGACGUAUAUGCGGAGAGCGUCCAUUGCCUUAGCGCGCUUCGUAUCCGUCUGCAGAAGGGGGACGACAAACACGCGAAACUCGGGCUCCCCACAAACGCGCGAUGAACUCGAUUCUCUCGUAAGAGUCGAGCAGCCACUCUUCACAGUCUUCCUGUUGUUUCUCUCUUACUCGCAUAACGCUCCGUCUCCGUCAUCGAUGGUGAUUUACACACCUAUACACACAUAUAUGUAUGCGUAUUCCUUUUAUGCAUAUGGUUUGCCCCUGGUGCACUGUUUAUGCUGUCGCCGUUGCUCUAUAUACGUCACUGCGAAG
rnacentral:misc_RNA from 1 species